AUGCUUCAGCAGCACGUGUACUAAAAUUGGAAUGAUACGGCAAAGAUUAGCAUGGUCUCUGUACAAGGAUGACACACAAAUUCAUGAAGUGGUCUGUAUUAAA
ensembl:snRNA U6 U6 spliceosomal RNA